GCCUUUGUGGAUCAUGGGGAUCACCCCAUUUUCAUGCUGUUGUUUAUUUUCAUGCAAGAGGGGAAGGAGGUUCGAUUCCUCCCGAAGGCA